rnacentral:rRNA from 1 species
CACGUAGGGUGCGAGCGUUGUCCGGAAUUAUUGGGCGUAAAGCGCGCGUAGGCGGCCUCAUAAGUCCGUUGUGAAAGUCAAAGGCUCAACCUUUGAAAGCCGAUGGAUACUGUGAGGCUAGAGUCCGGAAGAGGCGAGUGGAAUUCCUGGUGUAGCGGUGGAAUGCGCAGAUAUCAGGAGGAACACCAAUAGCGAAGGCAGCUCGCUGGGACGGUACUGACGCUAAGGCGCGAAAGCGUGGGGAGCGAACAGG